AGUGAACGCUGGCGGUAGGCCUAACACAUGCAAGUCGAACGGCAGCACAGUAAGAGCUUGCUCUUACGGGUGGCGAGUGGCGGACGGGUGAGGAAUACAUCGGAAUCUACUUUUUCGUGGGGGAUAACGUAGGGAAACUUACGCUAAUACCGCAUACGACCUACGGGUGAAAGCAGGGGAUCUUCGGACCUUGCGCGAUUGAAUGAGCCGAUGUCGGAUUAGCUAGUUGGCGGGGUAAAGGCCCACCAAGGCGACGAUCCGUAGCUGGUCUGAGAGGGUGAGAUCAGACACACGGAAACAGAGACGGGGCAGAGACUCAAGGGAGGGACAGGAGGGGAAAUUUUGGAAAAGGGCGCAAGCCUGAUCCAGCCAUACCGCGUGGGUGAAGAAGGCCUUCGGGUUGUAAAGCCCUUUUGUUGGGAAAGAAAAGCAGCAGGUUAAUACCCCGCUGUUCUGACGGUACCCAAAGAAUAAGCACCGGCUAACUUCGUG
rnacentral:rRNA from 1 species